GACGAACGCUGGCGGCGUGCUUAACACAUGCAAGUCGAACGAUGAAAUUCUGACGGAGGCUUCGGCCAACUGAGGGAUGGAUUAGUGGCGGACGGGUGAGUAACGCGUGAGUAACCUGCCUUUCAGAGUGGAAUAACAUUUGGAAACGAAUGGUAAUACCGCAUAACGUCAUGGGACCGCAUGAUCCUAUGACCAAAGGAGCAAUCCGCUGAAAGAUGGACUCGCGUCCGAUUAGCUAGUUGGUGAGGUAACGGCUCACCAAGGCGACGAUCAGUAGCCGGUCUGAGAGGAUGAACGGCCACAUUGGGACUGAGAUACGGCCCAGACUCCUACGGGAGGCAGCAGUGGGGAAUAUUGGGCAAUGGGGGAAACCCUGACCCAGCAACGCCGCGUGAAGGAAGAAGGCCUCGGUGUAACUCUUUACCUAGGACGAAGAACGUGACGGUA
rnacentral:rRNA from 1 species